rnacentral:rRNA from 1 species
CUACGGGAGGCAGCAGUAGGGAAUUUUCCACAAUGGGCGAAAGCCUGAUGGAGCAACGCCGCGUGCAGGAUGAAUGCCUUCGGGUUGUAAACUGCUUUUGUCUGUGACGAUUAUGACGGUAGCAGACGAAUAAGGACCGGCUAACUACGUGCCAGGCAGCCGCGGUCAUACGUAGGGUCCAAGCGUUAUCCGGAAUUACUGGGCGUAAAGAGUUGCGUAGGUGGCAGAGUAAGUAGGUAGUGAAAGCGUAUGGCUCAACCAUAUAUCCAUUACCUAAACUGCUCAGGUAGAAGAUGAGAGAGGUCGCUGUAAUUCCUAGUGUAGGAGUGAAAUCCGUAGAUAUUAGGAGGAACACCGAUGGCGUAGGCAGGCGACUGGCUCAUUCUUGACACUGAGGCACGAAAGCGUGGGGAGCAAACGGGAUUAGAUACCCUAGUAGUC